GUAAUGUCUGGGAAACUGCCUGAUGGAGGGGGAUAACUACUGGAAACGGUAGCUAAUACCGCAUAAUGUCGCAAGACCAAAGAGGGGGACCUUCGGGCCUCUUGCCAUCGGAUGUGCCCAGAUGGGAUUAGCUAGUAGGUGGGGUAAUGGCUCACCUAGGCGACGAUCCCUAGCUGGUCUGAGAGGAUGACCAGCCACACUGGAACUGAGACACGGUCCAGACUCCUACGGGAGGCAGCAGUGGGGAAUAUUGCACAAUGGGCGCAAGCCUGAUGCAGCCAUGCCGCGUGUAUGAAGAAGGCCUUCGGGUUGUAAAGUACUUUCAGCGAGGAGGAAGGUGUUGUGGUUAAUAACCACAGCGAUUGACGUUACUCGCAGAAGAAGCACCGGCUAACUCCGUGCCAGCAGCCGCGGUAAUACGGAGGGUGCAAGCGUUAAUCGGAAUUACUGGGCGUAAAGCGCACGCAGGCGGUCUGUUAAGUCAGAUGUGAAAUCACCGGGCUCAACCUGGGAACUGCAUUUGAAACUGGCAGGCUUGAGUCUUGUAGAGGGGGGUAGAAUUCCAGGUGUAGCGGUGAAAUGCGUAGAGAUCUGGAGGAAUACCGGUGGCGAAGGCGGCCCCCUGGACAAAGACUGACGCUCAGGUGCGAAAGCGUGGGGAGCAAACAGGAUUAGAUACCCUGGUAGCCACGCCGUAAACGAUGUCGACUUGGAGGUUGUGCCCUUGAGGCGUGGCUUCCGGAGCUAACGCGUUAAGUCGACCGCCUGGGGAGUACGGCCGCAAGGUUAAAACUCAAAUGAAUUGACGGGGGCCCGCACAAGCGGUGGAGCAUGUGGUUUAAUUCGAUGCAACGCGAAGAACCUUACCUACUCUUGACAUCCAGAGAACUUAGCAGAGAUGCCUUGGUGCCUUCGGGAACUCUGAGACAGGUGCUGCAUGGCUGUCGUCAGCUCGUGUUGUGAAAUGUUGGGUUAAGUCCCGCAACGAGCGCAACCCUUAUCCUUUGUUGCCAGCGGUUAGGCCGGGAACUCAAAGGAGACUGCCAGUGAUAAACUUGUGGAACCUUGGUACGACUUCAUGUCAUCACGUCCCUUACGAGUAGGGCUACACACGUGCUACAAUGGCGCAUACAAAGAGAAGCGACCUCGCGAGAGCAAGCGGACCUCAUAAAGUGCGUCGUAGUCCGGAUUGGAGUCUGCAACUCGACUCCAUGAAGUCGGAAUCGCUAGUAAUCGUAGAUCAGAAUGCUACGGUGAAUACGUUCCCGGGCCUU
rnacentral:rRNA from 1 species